CGCGUAGGCGGUGUCGUAAGUCGGAUGUGAAAUCCCUCGGCUCAACCGAGGAACUGCACCCGAAACUGCGGCACUUGAGUGUGGUAGGGGGGAGUGGAAUUCCUGGUGGAGCGGUGAAAUGCGUAGAUAUCAGGAGGAACGCCGGUGGCGAAGGCGACUCCCUGGCCCACAACUGACGCUGAGUGCGCGAAAGCUAGGGGAGCAAACA
rnacentral:rRNA from 1 species